GCCUUUAUCAGAGACCCCGAGAGAGGGGGGGCGCACGGGGGGGCACAGCCCCAAAAAUGGCCCUGUAUGGCUGCCCUACAGACCCUAAAAGUGCCCUCAUGGCCCUACAAACCCUAUAGAACCCCGUAAGUACCCCAUAAAGCCCUACAGACCCCGUAAGUACCCCAUAAAGUCCUAUAGACCCCAUAGAACCCCAUAUAGCUCUACAGACCCCAUAAGUACCCCAUAAAGUCCUAUAGACCCCAUAAGUACCCCAUAAAGUCCUAUAGACCCCAUAGAACCCCAUAUAGCCCUACAGAACCCCAUAGAAUCCCAUAUAGCCCUACAGCACCCUAUAUAGCCCUACACACCCCAUAAGUACCCCAUAAAGUCCUAUAGACCCCAUAUAGCCCUACAGACCCUAGAUAUAGAGCCCUACACACCCCUAUAUGGCCCCACAAGCCCCUAUAUGGCCCCUAUACAGCCCCAUAAGCCCCUAUAUGGCCCUACACGCCCCUACAAGCCCCUAUCUGGCCCUACAGACCCCACACGCCCCUAUACGGCCCUAUACACGGCCCUAUAUUCGGCCCUACAGCCCCCAUAGGGCCCUACAGACCCCACACGCCCCUAUACGGCCCUAUAUUCGGCCCUAUACACGGCCCUAUAUCCGGCCCUACAGCCCCCAUAGGGCCGUGCGCCCCCUCUCCCGGAGCCUCACCUGAAGGCUAGAAACAGUGAGGCGCCGGGCGGCGUCGCUGUUGGGGGCGGCCGGCACCACGAAGGGGCUGUCGGGGAUGUGCUCCUCAUUGAACUUCACCGCCACCUCGUAGUCCCCUGGAGGUUAAUUAACCAGUAAUUAACGAGGGGUCAUUAAUUAAUGAGGGGUGAAUGAGGGGGUGGGGGGACGGAGGAUGGAAUUAACAGGGGAUGGAAUUAACGGGGGAUGGAAUUAAUGGGGCUGGUAGGGAUGUGCUCCUCAUUGAACUUCACCGCCACCUCGUAGUCCCCUGGGGGGUUAAUUAAUGAGUAAUUAAUUAAUCAGGAGGCAUUAAUUAACGAGGGGUCAUCAAUUAAUGAGGGCUUAAUGAGGAGGUGGGGGGACGGGGGAUGGAAUCAAUGGGGGAUGGAAUCAAUGGGGGAUGGAAUCAAGGGGGCCACCUCGUAGUCCUC
rnacentral:lncRNA from 1 species